CCUACGGGUGACUGCAGUCGAGAAUCAUUCACAAUGGGGGAAACCCUGAUGGUGCGACGCCGCGUGGGGGAAUGAAGGUCUUCGGAUUGUAAACCCCUGUCAUGGGGGAGCAAAUGAAAAAGAUAGUACCACAAGAGGAAGAGACGGCUAACUCAGUGCCAGCAGCCGCGGUAAUACAGAGGGCUCAAGCGUUGUUCGGAAGCACUGGGCGUAAAGCGUGCGUAGGCUGUUUCGUAAGUCGUGUUUGAAAGGCGCGGGCUCAACCCGCGGACGGCACAUGAUACUGCGAGACUAGAGUGAUGGAGGGGGAACCGGAAUUCUCGGUGUAGCAGUGAAAUGCGUAGAUAUCGAGAGGAACACUCGUGGCGAAGGCGGGUUCCUGGACAUUAACUGACGCUGAGGCACGAAGGCCAGGGGAGCGAAAGGGAUUAGAUACCCGUGUAGUC
rnacentral:rRNA from 1 species